UCAUUAAUACGGGAACUGCCAGUUCGCCUGCUUCAGGUCACUAUCGCGUUGUAGUAUUUAGGGGUGUCUUUGCAUGAUUAACUUGUCCCUUUUUUAAAAUAGAAUUAUCAUUUUUGCAAUUCAUGUCAGAGCUUUCGGACUCUCUCUCUCUCUCUCUCCUGCUUGAAACUACACCAGAUGUGCAGGCAUGGCUCCGAUGACUAGAAGCAAGUUGACAGAAGCCAUCUCAGAAGGAAUGGCCGCUCUGUGAGCAUCUGCAAGUUCACACAACGCGUUAAGAGAGAACAGAUUAUAACGCUGGAAUUUUUCCGUGAAGGCGAGUGCGAGCAGCUGCGGUACGGGUGAGUAGAACGAAGGCUUAGGAAUGCGAGGUGUAGAGGACAAGCAAUCGGGCGUAUUUUGCAAUCGUCAUGCGAUUUUCUCACAUACUCUGAGAGUGGGAAACUCUACUGUGUUCAGCCACCAAAAUUAAUGAUCCGUGAACAGAGAUCGAUUUGAUGUGCAACGUAAACAGAAUGUACACCAAACAUUGUAGCCGCUUAAUGCAUCAGCAGGUCCAGCAUCCGCAGGUCCAACCUGAGGUCACUGAAUGGUCAUUGUAGAAGUCAAGGAUCCAGAGCGCCAAGAGUAGCAGACUCGCCUUCCAUGACUGACACGACAGGAUGGAUGGUGAAUACCGACAUGUGAACGGGACAGCUUGAAACACGGACGAAACCAGUCACGGCACACGAAACCAGUGCUACAGUUUUAUGGCGAUAUCCAAGUUCCAGUACCAGACCAGAAGGAGGCCAUGUUCACAUCCAGUAAACUCCGGACAAACCACAGCGACACGCCGAGAAAGAUAAGCACUGAUACUGUAACUUGGACCCAAUCGCAGCGAUCAGCUCAUCGAUUCACAACACCAAAGUCUAGAGUGCCGCUGCAGGAAUACUGGUGUCAACGUUGCCAAUCAACAGUGAAACUCAUGGUGUCAAAAAAUGUUACACACAAGCUGCAGCGAAAUUGUAGCGAUCUUAGAAAAGUAGCGUAAGUUUCCAGUGGUUUUGUGACUGGUUACCGUCAUUUUUGUGAUGGCUUGCGAUAAGCUAUGCAUCUAGCAAGGAAGGGUUAUCCGAUCGGAACCUACAUGCUCGUUAGUGAUUCACAAUGUGUUUUGUCCCUUCGGCAAGGCUGCAGAAAAGUUCGCCUUCGGUUUGGCACCAGCGUCGAGGAGCUGCUGUGGAAUCACUUGAAUUCUUUGGCAUCUUGUGAACCCACUUAUUUGUGUACUUGGUAAUGUCUACACAAUGGUUGUUUCUGUUCACGCAAACAUUGAUCAUGCAUAUUCAUAUUAAUACAAUGAAAUGGUGUUUGAAAUGAACACUUUGUGUUGU